CGAGCCCCAGGCGCAGGAACCUAACCCCCAGCAGCAGCAGCGGAAAUCAGUUCUCCCGCGGCGAGCCUUUCUGCAGGAAGGGAGACUGUCAGCCCUCGUCCAACGGUGAGGGCUCGGGCCUACGAGACUGCCCCUACUCCGGACGCCAGUCACCUGCAGCUUCUGCCUGACUUGGCUGCACAUCGGGGGACCCCUAAGCCAUCGGCUGGAAGAGCUGCCAGAGCUCAGGGAAGCGCUCACCUCCAUCGACCCUGUGUUAUAUGGAAAAGGACACAGAUGAACAGCCAGAUGCGGCACACAGGGACAGACGAGGGGAGACCCCGCCUGCCCAGCGGCCGCGUCACAGCCCGCUGCUGCACCCAAGGACAGUCAGCCGGGCCGGGAAGACUCCACCGACUCCAGCCGCCAGGACCCGGCAGGGACGCCUUUCCAUGUACCUCUGGGUGGCCCGCUCAGUUCCGACUGUAACCCACCCCGGUCGUUUCCUAGUCCUGGGCUCACCGAGUACAGAGAGCGGCAGAGCAUGACCCCGAUCAGCCUCCUGACCCCUUGGGCCCACCCUGGAAGCAGGCAUGUGGCCUCGGCGUUCAGAGCCUGGGGCCCCAUCAGCGUCCCAUCCUCCCAGGUUCAGGGGGCCGGAGGAGGGGGCGUCCCUCAUCAGCUGCCUCUUUUCUGAGGCUGGGGCCGUGGGUCACAAGUGCAGGCAAACAACAGCGUCCGUUCCUGGAGAUGCAGGUGCCCAGCCCUGCUCAGACCUGGCCCGCCGGCUGGGUUUUCACACCCCUUCCUUGCUCUGCUCUGACUAUAAAAAUUACAGCCAUUCAUCCUACAUUAUUAAGAAAAUGUGGAAAAAAUGUUAGAGAACAAAAUUAAAAUUACCCAUAAUCACACCCAACAGAGAUGAUCA